UAACCACUCAAGCCUCGGCUUGGUCUUGGGGUUCGCGGUCUCGCGGCCCUUAAAAUCAGUGGCGGUGCCGUCUGGCUCUAAGCGUAGUAAUUUUCUCGCUAUAGGGUCCAGGUGACCACCUGCCAUAACCCCCCAUUCUUUAC
rnacentral:misc_RNA from 1 species